UACGUAGGGUGCGAGCGUUGUCCGGAAUUAUUGGGCGUAAAGGGCUCGUAGGCGGUUUGUCACGUCGGGAGUGAAAACUCAGGGCUCAACCCUGAGCCUGCUUCCGAUACGGGCAGACUAGAGGUAUGCAGGGGAGAACGGAAUUCCUGGUGUAGGCGGUGAAAUGCGCAGAUAUCAGGAGGAACACCGGUGGCGAAGGCGACUUCCUGGACCAAUACUGACGCUCAGGUGCGAAAGCGUGGGGAGCAAACAG
rnacentral:rRNA from 1 species